GAUGAAGAACGUAGCGAAAUGCGAUACUUGGUGUGAAUUGCAGAAUCCCGUGAACCAUCGAGUCUUUGAACGCAAGUUGCGCCUCAAGCCAUUAGGUUGAGGGCACGUCUGCCUGGGCGUCACAUAUCGUUGCCUGAUGCCAGUUUCCUCGUGAUGGGUGACUGUGCAGGGCGAAUGAUGGCUUCCCGUGAGCAUUGUUGCCUCAUGGUUGGUUGAAAAUUGAGUCCUUGGUAGGGAGCGCCGUGAUAGAUGGUGGUUGAGUGACGAACGAGACCCAAUCAUGUGAGACCCCUACCGAAUUUGGCCUUCAUGACCCACAUGCGUCUUUGGAACGCUCAUGACGAGACCUCAGGUCAGGCGGGGCUACCCGCUGAGUUUAAGCAUAUCAAUAGCGGAGA
rnacentral:misc_RNA from 1 species